GAAGAAGAAGAAGAAGAAGAAGAAAGACAAGACACCUAGCUCCAUUAUUAUCAUAUAUUGCGAUUCUAGAGGUCUGGACUCUGGUCCCCAGGUUUGAGAGAAAAUUGAAAAACAUACUAAAACAAGUUUCCAGCUAGCCAUAAACGUAUUUCACCAUCAGUCUGUCUGCUGCCUUUGCUACCUGCUUUUGAGAGAGGAACUGCCUCUCGUAUUUCCCAGAAAAUUUCACCAAGG
rnacentral:lncRNA from 1 species